UGUGCCUCAUUGAUUUUCAUUGAGC
rnacentral:miRNA from 1 species